UUAAAUCAUGCAUGUGUAAGUAUGAACUAAUUCAGAUUGUGAAAUUGUGAAUGACUCAUUAAAUCCGUUAGUUUGUUUAAUGGUAUUUGCUAUUCGGAUAACUGUAGUAAUUCUAGAGCUAAUUCGGGCAACAAACCCUGGCUUUUGAAAGGGAUGCAUUUAUUAGAUAACUCCAUGCUGGCUCUGCCCAAUGCUCUGGUGAUUUAUGAUAACUCGACGGAUCGCACGACCAUUAUACCCAACGAUGCAUUCAAAUUUCUGCCCUAUCAACUUUUGAUGGUAGGAUAGAAGCCUACCAUGGUGAAGAUGGGUGACAAAGAAUUAGGAUUCAAUUUUGAAAAGGGAGCUUGAGAAACAACUACUAGCACCCUCGUCGUAGGGAUG
rnacentral:ncRNA from 1 species